rnacentral:rRNA from 1 species
UGGGGAAUAUUGCGCAAUGGGGGCAACCCUGACGCAGCAACGCCGCGUGAUUGAAGAAGGCCUUCGGGUUGUAAAGAUCUUUAAUCGGGGACGAAUUUUGACGGUACCCGAAGAAUAAGCUCCGGCUAACUACGUGCC